rnacentral:rRNA from 1 species
UCGAACGAUGAUCCAGCUUGCUGGGGGAUUAGUGGCGAACGGGUGAGUAACACGUGAGUAACCUGCCCUUAACUCUGGGAUAAGCCUGGGAAACUGGGUCUAAUACCGGAUAUGACUCCUCAUCGCAUGGUGGGGGGUGGAAAGCUUUAUUGUGGUUUUGGAUGGACUCGCGGCCUAUCAGCUUGUUGGUGAGGUAAUGGCUCACCAAGGCGACGACGGGUAGCCGGCCUGAGAGGGUGACCGGCCACACUGGGACUGAGACACGGCCCAGACUCCUACGGGAGGCAGCAGUGGGGAAUAUUGCACAAUGGGCGAAAGCCUGAUGCAGCGACGCCGCGUGAGGGAUGACGGCCUUCGGGUUGUAAACCUCUUUCAGUAGGGAAGAAGCGAAAGUGACGGUACCUGCAGAAGAAGCGCCGGCUAACUACGUGCCAGCAGCCGCGGUAAUACGUAGGGCGCAAGCGUUAUCCGGAAUUAUUGGGCGUAAAGAGCUCGUAGGCGGUUUGUCGCGUCUGCCGUGAAAGUCCGGGGCUCAACUCCGGAUCUGCGGUGGGUACGGGCAGACUAGAGUGAUGUAGGGGAGACUGGAAUUCCUGGUGUAGCGGUGAAAUGCGCAGAUAUCAGGAGGAACACCGAUGGCGAAGGCAGGUCUCUGGGCAUUAACUGACGCUGAGGAGCGAAAGCAUGGGGAGCGAACAGGAUUAGAUACCCUGGUAGUCCAUGCCGUAAACGUUGGGCACUAGGUGUGGGGGACAUUCCACGUUUUCCGCGCCGUAGCUAACGCAUUAAGUGCCCCGCC